GGAGGCAGCAGUGGGGAAUUUUCCGCAAUGGGCGAAAGCCUGACGGAGCAAUACCGCGUGAGGGAGGAAGGCUCUUGGGUUGUAAACCUCUUUUCUCAGGGAAGAAAAAAAUGACGGUACCUGAGGAAUAAGCAUCGGCUAACUCCGUGCCAGCAGCCGCGGUAAUACGGAGGAUGCAAGCGUUAUCCGGAAUGAUUGGGCGUAAAGGGUCCGCAGGUGGCAUUGUAAGUCUGCUGUUAAAGAGUCUGGCUCAACCAGAUAAAAGCAGUGGAAACUACAAAGCUAGAGUAUGGUCGGGGCAGAGGGAAUUCCUGGUGUAGCGGUGAAAUGCGUAGAUAUCAGGAAGAACACCGGUGGCGAAGGCGCUCUGCUAGGCCAAAACUGACACUGAGGGACGAAAGCUAGGGGAGCGAAUGGGAUUAGAUACCCCAGUAGUCCUAGCCGUAAACGAUGGAUACUAGGNGUAGCUCGUAUCGACC
rnacentral:rRNA from 1 species